rnacentral:rRNA from 1 species
UACGUAGGGGGCGAGCGUUGUCCGGAUUUAUUGGGCGUAAAGAGCGUGUAGGCGGCCAGGUAGGUCUGCUGUGAAAACUCGAGGCUCAACCUCGAGACGUCGGUGGAAACCAUCUGGCUAGAGUCCGGAAGAGGAGAGUGGAAUUCCUGGUGUAGCGGUGAAAUGCGCAGAUAUCGGGAGGAACACCAGAGGCGAAGGCGGCGACCUGGACAGGUACUGACACUCAACUACGAAAGCGUGGGGAGCAAACAGG